rnacentral:misc_RNA from 1 species
AAUUCUAAAUACUUGAUAAUAUGCCUGUUAUGGAUAAGUCCAUGAGUUGCAUAUCUUUGUUUCAAAGUUUAAGGAUUUGAAAGUGGUAGUUCCUAAAUCAUUGCAAUUAGGAGGAAUAAUAGCACAUCAUACUUAUAGUUUGAAUUAUUAUAGGAAGAAAUUACUGUAUGUCACAUAAAACUUUUCUUUUAAACAGAUUCAGAAACACUUACAUGUGAAAAGUUUUUUAUGUGAUAAUUUGUUUUUAUGUGAUAAGUCUUUAUGUUAAUGACAUUCUUAUAUUAGAAGAAAUAUAAUGUUAUAUUAUGAUGCUAAAGCUCA